rnacentral:rRNA from 1 species
GAUGAACGCUAGCGGCAGGCUUAAUACAUGCAAGUCGUGGGGCAGCGCAGGUAGCAAUACUGGGCGGCGACCGGCAAACGGGUGCGGAACACGUACACAACCUUCCGAGAAGUGGGGAAUAGCCCAGAGAAAUUUGGAUUAAUACCCCGUAACAUAACGAUGUGGCAUCACAUUGUUAUUAUAGCUUCGGCGCUUCUUGAUGGGUGUGCGGCUGAUUAGAUAGUUGGCGGGGUAACGGCCCACCAAGUCUACGAUCAGUAGCUGAUGUGAGAGCAUGAUCAGCCACACGGGCACUGAGACACGGGCCCGACUCCUACGGGAGGCAGCAGUAAGGAAUAUUGGUCAAUGGACGCAAGUCUGAACCGGCCAUGCCGCGUGAAGGAUUAAGGUCCUCUGGAUUGUAAACUUCUUUUAUCUGGGACGAAAAAAGGCGAUUCUUCGUCACUUGACGGUACCAGAUGAAUAAGCACCGGCUAACUCCGUGCCAGCCGCCGUGGUAAAAC